rnacentral:lncRNA from 1 species
UUAAACUCCAUUCCCCAGGGGUUUACAGUGAAGAAAGUCUAUCGCUGCAGUUGCUCGGCGAUCCUUCAAAGUCUCUGAAAUAGAAGGGAAAACGUUGGCUUCCAAAUCUGAAGCCUAACUACCCAUAGAAAACCACCAUGAAAUAAGUAAUGCCUUUGUAACGACAACUUUAAUGAUGCUGUGUCUGUCCAUAGUAUAAAAGGUACAUUUUUACAAUAAGUAUAGUGCUAAAGUAGAGAUACUUUGUAACAUGUUUUCUGUCCUGUUAGUUGUGUGUCAGUGUUUACUGUGUCUUUUUUUUUUUUUUUUUUUUGGUCUAGCUUAGCAAAAACAGAAUAUAGCCCUCAUAAGAGCUAUGGCAUACAGGAGUGGUGAUGUAGCAGGGUGACCCCUGUUUAGAUAGUAUUACUGUUCAUGAGACAAUUUUAGAAACCUUAGUAUUUCUUCCAAUAUCCGUAUCUAAAGUUAAUAUUGAAAUAAGCAUAAAGGUUUAUUUUUCUGUUAAAACCACAAGAAAAAUUUGAAGACUGUUCAAAGUAUUGAGCAGAAUUCAAGGACACUUAAAACUGUGUUAGGCCUGCAUUUUCAUAUGAGGACAUUCCAUAUCUUCUGGACCACAGCUGUUCAGUUGGAUACUGGAUUAUAAUCAGAAUGGAAAAGAGAAAGCACAUUGACUUUUAAAGCUGACAUUCUGACUUCCUGCAGUUGUUGGCUGUAACUAGACCUCUUCAGACAGCAUGUGUCAAUCUUAGUGUACACUGUGACCACUGUGCAGUUGCUGUUUCCUUGACGUGUAUUGCAUUGUUAUGUUCUGGAUUUAAGUAGAUUUCAGGCCUCGAUGGCCAAAAACCAGUUGUCUUCUUCUUGAGAAGAAAUAUUGUCUGACUCAGUAAAAUUGUGUGUGUGAUUGUAAGUGUAUAUGUGUGUGUAUGUGUGUGUGUGUGUGUUUGUGUUACUCUAUCUUGUAACUGUUACAGAAAUGUCCCCCAUGAGGAAACUGACCAAGGGUAAACAGUACCACUUGCUGCGCUCUUGCACAUGAACUUAGCUUCUACAGUUGAGCUCUUCAUGAAAUCCUGUUUAUAAAAAUUCUGACUAAAUCUUUUCAGAAGAAUCUUCCCACCUAGGAGACCGGAUUAAGCAUUCUAAUGCCAUUUAGGUGUUCUGUAAGGCCAGCGUUCAGCAAGAAGUCAUCAGUAAGAGGUGCCAGAAAAUAGAGGAUUCUCCCAGGAAGAGGGGAGUGUGGAGGAUGGUGGGCGCCUACUAAUAAUCAAGUCCAUGGAAAUGGAAAUCAGUAAAGGGGUUGGUUCUAAGACCUAUACCCACACCCCUACAGUAGUAAGUUUCAGUGGUGCAUGUCAGCGGUGCAAUCUCAGGUUAAGUAACAACAUGCCAGCUGGUCCAGGCCAUUUCAUUACAGAGGGUGACAGCCCAGUACCUGGCUCUGUUUGGAAUGAUUGGGCUAAGGAAAAGGUAGUACCUCCUCUACUUGCUGGUAUCAAGAUGUGCCAAAACAUAAAGAUGAGGGUGGCUAGCUUCUGAUGACAUCUCUGCCGUGGUACUCAGAAUUGGGCCCUUUUCCAAUAAAGAGAAGUAUUGCUUUUAGGAAGCCACUCUAUCCCGAUAAGUUCUACAUAGAGUCUCUCCUUGUUCAGGUUUUCACCAGCCCUAAGAACUGCAUGGCAUGAAGUGGGGAGCUAGCAUCUGUUGGUGAUUUCUACCAUUUGGGGUUCCCAGCCUGACAGGGCAGUACCCCUUCUUGCAAUCAGUGUGACCUGAGGGCCAAACUAGGAUAUGUCUAGAUUUGGCCUGCUGCAGUCUCUUGCUUUUCUUCUCUGUGCACAGAGGAGGGCUCCGGAUGCUGGAGUAUUAGUAACUCCUUAGAGAAGGGUAUUGAGAGAAUACCACCAGGGGCUAGGAAUUGUCAGCUUCGUCCUACAUGAACCUGAAUAUCAACCGACAUGUCUCUAGCUACCAGGCAGUACCAUCUCUUCUCACAGCUACAAAGACCUGGUAGGAAAUUCUAGGUAUUUAAAAAAAAAUCCAAGAUUCACUUUUAGAACUGUAUUUGUGUAAAUGCCAUUUUAGUGAUAAGAUUUUAUAGUGUAUUGAACUUUCAAGACCUAACUCAUAUUUAAUAAGCUAAGGGACAAUGGGGCUGAUAGCACUAAACUUGGUGCUUAUUGAUACUCUAAGAAAUAUCUGUGAAAUAUCAUCAUGUGUGCGUUAAGCUACCUUCAUUUAAAAGGACUUAAAAUAAGUUGGAUCCACUUUGGCUUUGACCAUAUCAUUUCCUAACCCUACUGACCAAAACAUUCUCCCUAGUGAGUAUUAGUCAUUAGAAUUGCAUUCAUUAGUAUCAUUAAUUAACUAGGCCCUUAAUUAGAUUCAUUAAUUUAAAUGAUUUUAAUUUGAUCACUUAUGUACUCUGGCAUCAGGGUUAUCUGUUUCCCUCUGACAUGUGUCCUGAACAUGCAUUCUUCAGCCAUUACUCAUCUUAAAAAGGGGCCAAUUCCCAAACUGCUUGACUUCAUCCAAACAAAGACUGGGUCCUAGACUAGCAGUAUCAGUUAAACAAAGAGAGCUGUCCCUAAGAGCCCCUAGUUUUUCAACUAUGUAUUAAGUGCAUGUAAAAAUCAGUGUGCGUCUGGGCAGCGUAGACAUAUGUCUGUGCCAGAUGACUCCAAAGCUGUCGGAUACUGUCAGGUUUAGCUGGUAUCAAAUGCCAAGGAAUUUUUGCUACCUAAAACCAUCUGCAUAAAAUAGGCCCAAUUACCAGAUGAGAACUAGGUCUCUAGUUACCAUUCAGUUCAUUAAUUUCUGCCAUUCCAUACCCAUAAACAGGACCACUAACAUCAUGCACAAAAUUAGAUUCCUCAUACUCUUGACUGUAUAUUUGUAUGAUAUUUUAAAAUCUCCUAAAUGGCCAUUCACAGUUGCUUUGCACUGGCCUUCCAGUAAAAUGUUAACACAGCUAUUGUAAUAUACACAAAGCAUUCUAUCUACUGAUUUGGACUGAAUGUAUGUACAUAGGUUUUACAAAAAAAAAGUCAGAUGUUAAAGCAGUGGUUUACAGAUCAGUGAUUUUCAGAUAGAGUUUCUUUCAGUUGCUGUGGAAUCUUUAAAAAGCACUCUUAGUGUGAACUUACUGAACUCUAGGGGUCCUGCGAUCAGAGUCCCCUAGAGAGGAAACCUUUUCUUGUAAUAAUAUGAACCAAGAUACCAGAUUAUCUUGAGUCUCACUUCCAGUGUUUCAAGUGGAAAACGUAUCUCCUUAUUGUCUCUGUAAAUGGAACAUCCUUACUUUUUUCUCUUAAAGAAUAUUGUACUGUUAGAUGUUUGUUGAACUGGUAGCAUCAUUGAGACUGCUGUGAUGUCUUUGUCAGUAAUCUGUAUAAUAUUUUGUAUACAAGUACUGGUAAUAUUGUUAUUAAAUGUAGCUCGGUCAUUAAAUUACUAUAGCAAAGUAGUACUUCUGUAAUAUUUACAAUGUAUUAAGCCUACAGUAUAUUUUAUUUCAUUGAUGUAAUUUAAUUGUUAUUUAUUCAAGAGAAAGCAGUUCAUCAUGUCUAUUGUCUAAAAUUACCUGGAAUCAAAUAAAAAUUCUAGAUUAUCAUG